GAUGAACGCUGGCGGCGUGCCUAAUACAUGCAAGUCGAGCGAACCGUCCAGGAGCUUUCUCCUCUGACUUUAUCGGCCGUCGGGUGAUUCACACGUGUAUAACCUACCUCUCAGACUGGGAUACCUUCGCGAAACCGUAGCUAAUACCGGAUAAUAUAUUGCACCUCAUUGUUCACUCGUUAAAUACGCUUUUUCUUUCACUUAUAGCUUGAUCCGCCCCGCAUUAGCUAGUUGUGUAGGUAACGGCUUACCAAGGCGACGAUGCGUAGACGACCUGAGAGGGUGAUCGGACACACGGGAAGUGAGAAACGGUAGAGACUCCUACGGGAGGAAGCAGUAGAGAAUCUUACGCAAUGGGGGAAAGGCGGAUGGAGAAAAGCGGCGGGAGUGAUGAAGGACUUCGGAUCGGAAAGCGCUGUUGUUAGGGAAGAACAAAAGUGUAAGUAACUAGGCACGUAUUGACGGUACCGAAGGAGAAAGCCACGGCUAACUACGUG
rnacentral:rRNA from 1 species